AUACUUACCUGGCAGGGGAGAUACUAUGAUCAAGCAGGUGGUUUUCCCAGGGUGAGGCUCCUCCAUUGCACUUGGGAGGUGCUGACCCCUGCGAUUUCCCCAAAUGUGGGAAACUCGACUGCAUAAUUUGUGGUAGUGGGGGACUGCGUUCGCGCUCUCCCCUG
ensembl:snRNA U1 U1 spliceosomal RNA